GACGUAGGGGGCCAGCGUUGCUCGGAAUUACUGGGCGUAAAGGGUGCGUAGGCGGGUCUUUAAGUCAGGGGUGAAAUCCUGGAGCUCAACUCCAGAACUGCCUUUGAUACUGAAGAUCUUGAGUUCGGGAGAGGUGAGUGGAACUGCGAGUGUAGAGGUGAAAUUCGUAGAUAUUCGCAAGAACACCAGUGGCGAAGGCGGCUCACUGGCCCGAUACUGACGCUGAUGCACGAAAGCGUGGGGAGCAAACAGG
rnacentral:rRNA from 1 species